ACCGGAGCUAAUACCGGAUAAUAUUUGAACCGCAUGGUUCAAAAGUGAAAGACGGUCUUGCUGUCACUUAUAGAUGGAUCCGCGCUGCAUUAGCUAGUUGGUAAGGUAACGGCUUACCAAGGCAACGAUGCAUAGCCGACCUGAGAGGGUGAUCGGCCACACUGGAACUGAGACACGGUCCAG
rnacentral:rRNA from 1 species